rnacentral:lncRNA from 1 species
UAUCAACUCAAUAUGCUAGAAAACCUAGAUACAAUGAGCUUAGGUAAUGGGCUUCCGGUCUUUAUUUGGGCCUUGCUAAUACUCCCCCGCAAACUUAGCGUGGAUGGAGCAGCUACGCUGAGUUUGAAGGCACAGAUGGAGAUGGCUUUAGAUGAGCAUAAGUAGAUGAAGUAGGAUGCUUGAGAUGUUGGCAAAUGGUUCUACUCACCAUUGUAGACAAACAUUAGUGUGAGAUCUAUUCAGACCUAUACUUGGAGAGUAUCACAUGGCUUCACUCAGAGGUUUCUCUUGAACUUGGAGAGCUUAGUUGAUCUCACUCAGAGGUAUAAUUGUGGCCUAUUUGUCUCACUAUGAAUCUAGGUUUACUUAAACCAUUUCAUUCUUCUAAUCUGUCUCAUGAAGAACUCUCUUUCCACACCUACCAAAUACAACUAUACUCACUCUCUGCUUCAUUAUCACUAGUCACUAUCAUCUUUUAUCUCUCUGUGACAUUGUACCAAACACUUGGUGCGCAUCAAAAACAGAGACUUUCUUCCAUAAACCCUUUUUUUUUUUUUUUUUUUUUUUUACAGAAAAUCAAACCUAGCGUAAGCAUUCUAUUCCAGAUUCCAAGCCUAUAAUCUAAACCAGCCAGCAUAAAUCACCAAACGACCACACAUGCAUCACUUCUCCUUAAUCUACCAAACGACCAUUCACUUGUUCUGUCUCAGGAAGAAGGACAGAUACAUACCAUUGAUAAACAUAUUUGUGUGAUGACUUCCUCCUUCAGUUCACGUGUGAUUUCGUCGUUGAUUACGGUUUCAUCACGGUUCGUACAGAGGAACGCUUUCGUAGCCGCUGAGUUUUGUCCAUGGAGUCCGACAUAAGCGGGUUGGGUUUGAAGACAUGACUGUUUCUUUCUCACGUUGUAUCUCUGGCCCAUCUGGCCCAAUACCCUUUCUUCUUCAUACAGACAUCUCGUAGGAAGCAAACGAAAGUCUUGGAAGACUUAAUGGCUCCAUAGAGGUCUUGUAGAUAGUCUGAAGCUCAAGUAGAAGAUAUAACACCAAGAUCUACUCCCUGAUGCUCUGAUACCAUGAGAACAAAUGUACAAAAUGCUCAAAGAGCUUUAUUUAAACAGAAAUGGAGAUAGCUUAUUAAAGCUUUAUUGAACAAGAAAGUAAAGAGAAGAAGGAAGCUGAGAUUGUCUGCAAGA